GGCCAGUUAGCUCAGUCAGUUAGAGCGUGGUGCUGAUAACACCAAGGCCGUGGGUUCGAUCCCUGCUUGAUCC
rnacentral:tRNA from 1 species